rnacentral:rRNA from 1 species
UACGUAGGGGCCAAGCGUUGUCCGGAUUUAUUGGGCGUAAAGAGCUCGUAGGCGGUUCGGCAAGUCAGCUGUGAAAUCUCCACGCUCAACGUGGAGGGGUCAGCUGAUACUGCUGUGACUUGAGUCCGGUAGGGGAGUGUGGAAUUCCCGGUGUAGCGGUGAAAUGCGCAGAUAUCGGGAGGAACACCAGUGGAGAAGGCGGCUCACUGGUCCGGUACUGACGCUGAGGUGCGAAAGCGUGGGGAGCAAACAGG